rnacentral:misc_RNA from 1 species
AAGUCGUAACAAGGUUUCCGUAGGUGAACCUGCGGAAGGAUCAUUAACACUCUUUUUUCAAUGAAAGAGCUCAUUUUUUGAUAUCUUUGUUUUUUCUUUUGAGAAACUUGGAUUCAAAUAAUGGGUAUUCACCCCUUAUAUUGACGAACGAAGAAAAAAAUGAUUUUGUUUCAAAAGCAAAACUCAUAUUUUUCUAUCUUUUUCUCUAUACCUUAUAUUUUUCAAAACCCCUUUUUUUACAAUAUGUCUUAGACUGAAAUGAAAAAUUAAGAUAAAUUAAAAAACAACUCUUAACAACGGAUAUCUUGGUUCUC